rnacentral:rRNA from 1 species
UACAGAGGGUGCUAGCGUUGUUCGGAAUCAUUGGGCGUAAAGAGCUCGUAGGCGGUGUGUCGCGUCGGCCGUGAAAACCUGCAGCUUAACUGUGGGCUUGCGGUCGAUACGGGCAUCACUGGAGGUUCGGCAGGGGAGACUGGAAUUCCUGGUGUAGCGGUGAAAUGCGCAGAUAUCAGGAGGAACACCGGUGGCGAAGGCGGGUCUCUGGGCCGAUACUGACGCUGAGGAGCGAAAGCGUGGGGAGCGAACAGG